rnacentral:rRNA from 1 species
UUGGGAAUCUUGGACAAUGGGCGAAAGCCUGAUCCAGCCAUGCCGCGUGAGUGAUGAAGGCCUUAGGGUUGUAAAGCUCUUUUGCCAGGGAAGAUAAUGACUGUACCUGGAGAAUAAGCCCCGGCUAACUUCGUGCCAGCAGCCGCGGUAAUACGAAGGGGGCUAGCGUUGUUCGGAAUUACUGGGCGUAAAGCGUGCGCAGGCGGUUUCUCAAGUCAGGGGUGAAAGCCCGGAGCUCAACUCCGGAAUUGCCCUUGAAACUGUGAAGCUCGAGUGCGGGAGAGGUGAGUGGAAUUCCCAGUGUAGAGGUGAAAUUCGUAGAUAUUGGGAAGAACACCGGUGGCGAAGGCGGCUCACUGGCCCGUUUCUGACGCUCAUGCACGACAGCGUGGGGAUCAAACAG